rnacentral:rRNA from 1 species
UACGGGGGGGGGCAAGCGUUGUUCGGAAUUACUGGGCGUAAAGGGCUCGUAGGCGGCCAACUAAGUCGGACGUGAAAUCCCUCGGCUUAACCGGGGAACUGCGUCCGAUACUGGAUGGCUUGAGUUCGGGAGAGGGAUGCGGAAUUCCAGGUGUAGCGGUGAAAUGCGUAGAUAUCUGGAGGAACACCGGUGGCGAAGGCGGGUCUCUGGGCCGAUACUGACGCUGAGGAGCGAAAGCGUGGGGAGCGAACAGG